CAGAAAUCUCUGCUUCCUUGGCUGAAGGAAGAGCACUAUAUCUUGAAAUUGAAACGUUAACUCAUAAGACUGUCUUCUUGUUGUACCAGCAUCUGUCCAUUAUAUAGAGUCCAAGAGCCAGAAGCUACAAGAAACAGAAUCACAAGUUGAGUCAUGAAAGACAGCUGAAGUAAGUUGUUUAAGAAUCUUUUAGUUUCCCAAAAAUUAAGCCUGCUUCUAAUUUCCUGGCUGAAGUCAUCGUGAUUGGUAGCUGGAUGGCAGAACUGGUUGUAAAGCCAGGGUGAUUUGUAGAUAGAUAGCAGAUCUGGCUUGAUCUUAAAUACAUCAGGAAGGAAAUAAGGUUAGGAAAAUCAAUGGUAACUUAUGGCUACUAAAAUCAAAUUAUUUAUUUAUUUAUUUUAGGGAAUAGAGACAUGAGGCAACCUUCUAAAACUGUCUUUCCAACACUGCCCUACUGAGAACUUGUGGAGUUAGAGUUAU
rnacentral:lncRNA from 1 species